CAGCCGCCGCGGUAAUACGUAGGGUGCGAGCGUUAAUCGGAAUUACUGGGCGUAAAGCGUGCGCAGGCGGUUGUGUAAGACAGGUGUGAAAUCCCGGGGCUCAACCCCGGAACUGCAUCCGAUACUGCCAUGCUAGAGGAUUGGAGAGGUAGCUGGAAUUCUUGGUGUAGCAGUGAAGCGCGUGGAGAUCAAGAGGAACACUCGUGGCGAAAGCGAGCUACUGGACAAUAACUGACGCUGAGGCUCGAAGGCCAGGGUAGCGAAAGGGAUUAGAGACCCCUGUAGUCCCUGUCUCUUAUAC
rnacentral:rRNA from 1 species